rnacentral:rRNA from 1 species
UUCGCAAUGCCCGAAAGGGUGACGAAGCGACGCCGCGUGUGGGAAGAAGGCCUUCGGGUUGUAAACCACUGUCGGGAGUUAAGAAAUGUAAGGGUGUUAAUAGCAUUCUUACUUGACGUUAGCUCCGGAGGAAGCCACGGCUAACUCUGCGCCAGCAGCCGCGGUAAUACAGAGGCGGCAAGCGUUGUUCGGAAUUAUUGGGCGUAAGGAGCACGUAGGCGGCUAUGUAAGUCGGUUGUGAAAGCCUUCCGCUCAACGGAAGAACAGCAUCCGAUACUACAUGGCUUGAGUGCGGGAGGGGAGAGUGGAACUUCUGGUGGAGCGGUGAAAUGCGUAGAUAUCAGAAGGAACGCCGGCGGCGAAAGCGGCUCUCUGGCCCAUAACUGACGCUGAGUGUGCGAAAGCUAGGGGAGCAAAUGGGAUUAGAUACCCCGGUAGUCCUAGCCGUAAACGAUGGGCACUAAGUAGAGGGGUUUU